rnacentral:rRNA from 1 species
GACGAACGCGGCGGCGUGCCUAAUACAUGCAAGUAGAACGCUGAAGGAGGAGCUUGCUCUUCUGGAUGAGUUGCGAACGGGUGAGUAACGCGUAGGUAACCUGCCUGGUAGCGGGGGAUAACUAUUGGAAACGAUAGCUAAUACCGCAUAACAUUGACUAUUGCAUGAUAGUUAAUUGAAAGGUGCAAAUGCACCACUACCAGAUGGACCUGCGUUGUAUUAGCUAGUUGGUGGGGUAACGGCUCACCAAGGCGACGAUACAUAGCCGACCUGAGAGGGUGAUCGGCCACACUGGGACUGAGACACGGCCCAGACUCCUACGGGAGGCAGCAGUAGGGAAUCUUCGGCAAUGGACGGAAGUCUGACCGAGCAACGCCGCGUGAGUGAAGAAGGUUUUCGGAUCGUAAAGCUCUGUUGUAAGAGAAGAACGAGUGUGAGAGUGGAAAAGUUCACACUGGGACGG